rnacentral:pre_miRNA from 1 species
UAUACUCAUAUUUGUAUGGAAUGGGAUCGUUUGCCUAAGUUUGCCGCUAGGGGCGCUGUUCCGCAUACAAAAUUGGGCUA